CCCCACUGCUAUCGGGAUGGGACUAAGACAUGCUAGUCGAGCGUCUCCAAGCUAUGGAAGAGACGCGGCACACAGCUCAGUAACACGUGGCUAACCUGCCCUUGGGACAAGGACAACUCCGGGAAACUGGGGCUAAUCCCUGAUAAGUGAGAACUCCUGGAAUGGAUUCUCGCUCAAAGGACGUUUAGACCAUGCUUCUAAGCGUCGCCCAAGGAGGGGGCCGCGACCGAUCAGGUUGUUGGUGAGGUAACGGCUCACCAAGCCUUUAACCGGUACGGGCCGUGAGAGCGGAAGCCCGGAGAUGGGCACUGAGACACGAUAUCAGGCCCUACGGGGCGCAGCAGGCGCGAAAACUUCACAAUGUGUGAAAGCACGAUGAGGGAAUCCCAAGUGCUUGCACGUAAGUGUAAGCUGUUUUUAUGUUUAAAACGCAUAGAGAGUAAGAGCUGGGUAAGACGGGUGCCAGCCGCCGCGGUAAUACCUGCAGCUCGAGUGGUGGCCGCUAUUAUUGGGCCUAAAACGUCCGUAGCCGGUUUAAUAAAUGCCUGGGUAAAUCGUGUAGCUUAACUAUACGAAUUCCGGGUAGACUGCUAAACUUGAGACCGGGAGAAGCUAGAGGUACUCCUGGGGUAGAGGUGAAAUUCUGUAAUCCUAGGGGGACCACCAGUGGCGAAGGCGUCUGGCUAGAACGGGUCUGACGGUGAGGGACGAAGCCCUGGGGCGCAAACCGGAUUAGAUACCCGGGUAGUCCAGGGUGUAAACGCUGCUUGCUUGAUGUUAGUUGGGCUCCGAGCCCAAUUAGUGUCGGAGAGAAGUUGUUAAGCAAGCUGCCUGGGAAGUACGGCCGCAAGACUGAAACUUAAAGGAAUUGGCGGGGGAGCACAGCAACGGGUGGAGCGUGCGGUUU
rnacentral:rRNA from 1 species